CAAGGCUUAAGAGGUUAGGGGUAGAAAAAAAAUCGUAUAAAAGGAGAGAGAAAAGGCGUUUGAAAUCAGUUGAGUGAGAAUCUCCGACCCGGCAACUGCUGUGUCCUAUUCGUCACUAAAUGCAUUUUUCAUUUUAAAAUCAUUACGCAAUAAGAGAAAAAAGGCCAAAGAAAUCAGUCGAGUGAUCAUCUCCGACACUGCAAUAGCAACUGCAGGGCACUAUUGAUCAUCAAUUGAUUCUUCACUGUGUAAUCAGUUCGUAAUCAUGGUUAAUUAUGGCGUUGUGCUGCUGUUGGGUCGACCACGAGUGUACCGAUGUCUCCUGGAUACGGUGGCCCCGAGUUACUUCACCAAAGCGCCUGAGUACUACACUGAGGCUCCCAAGUACUACACCAUCAAAGCCCCAGAGUAUUACACUGCAAUCUACGCUGCCCCAGCUUACACCACCAAGGGACCGGAGUACUGCACCACAACCUACGCUGCCCCAGUUCACUACGCCGCCCUGAGCUACACAACCACAUCUGAGGCAGCCGUCAUUACUGCACAGCGGCUGCUUCUUAGUAACAACCUACGUUACACCUAGAUGCUACACCGAAGCCCCCAAGUACUGCACCGGCAAGGCCGAAUAUUACAUAACCACGUUUGCUGCCCCAGCUACCCUGCUACACCGAGAAACCCAAGUAUUUCUCUGCUCCAAGCAACUAUCGAACAGAGGCUCCUGUUGACUACACCACCCAUGCCCCGGGGUUUUACAGUACAACCUACGCUGCCCCAUCUACACCAUCAAGGCUCCAAAGUACUACGCCACCGAGGCACCCGAGCUACUACUUAGGCUGCUCCGACUUUCUGCACCGAAGCUGCGAAAUAUUCCACUGCCCCGAGUUACUACACCAUCAAGGCUGUUACAAUGUUACAUCACAACCUACGCUUCUCCAGUUUACUACAUAAUGGUGAAGCCAGAAAUGGAAACAGUCAGGGUAGAGACAAUAUUUUGAUAAAGGGAUAAAAGUGCUUUUGACUUAUUUUAAAGAAGUUCUACAUAACACGUGGGGUUUUGUGUUGAGAUUUGUUGGUAUAGUUAAAUGUGUGCGGCUCAUGAGUUGCCAGGCUGAAGCUUAUUUUCUGCUAGAAAUCACUUGAGUAGAAUAACCAAUGAAGCGUUGUUGACACUUAACUUGCAUCUGACCGUGUGGAAGGCCUUUUUAUUUUUUUCAUGUUACUUCAUUUUUUCAAUCAUUCUCAUUACAUUUCUCCAAUGUCAAUUGCUAAUUUGAAGGUGACGGAGAUUAUUCCGUAAAAUGUGCCAUGUAGUGGUGUAGAGGUUGGGCAAGAACGGGACGUGUUUCAUCAUUAUCAAAAAUGUAGAAUUGCUGAAAGGCUUGAGUUGAGAGGUAAAUUGGGGUUAGAAAAAGUCGUAUAAAAGGAGAGGAAGGUGAUAGAGAUUAGUCUAGUGAGCAUCUCCGACCCGGCAACAACUGCUUUCUUCCAAUUCUCAAUCAUGGUCUAGUGCUGUUUGGUGUAUCGUUGAUGGUCGAGUCGUCCACUGGUGUACCGGUGUCCCCUGGGUGUGGCAGAUACCAAACCGCAAUGCUACCGUCUUACUACACAACAAACAUACGCAACCAGUUACUACACCUAAAAGGCCGUAUGUUACACAAGGACGUAUGCUACACCAGUUUACUACACCGAGGAAUUCAAGUAUUACUCUUCCCCGAACAAAUACCAAACAGAGGCUCCUGUUUACUACACUACCAUCGCCCUCGAGUGUUACACUAAAACCUACGUUGCCCCCAACUACUACACUGUGGCUCCGAAGUGCUACACAUCAAUGCACAACCAAUUCGCAAUUGUUUAUUUUUACGUCGUGCUGCUGUUGGUUGUUCUAUCGUUGCUAACGUGUUGACCACUGUACCGAACUCCACCGACUUUGG
rnacentral:lncRNA from 1 species